rnacentral:lncRNA from 1 species
GCAGACUGCACAGAUGGAACAUGGAAAGGCUUUUAACAGAAAUGAAUACUUUCAGACCAGUUUUGAAGGACUGAGUAGGAGUAAACUAAAAGAGAAAAAGCAGGACAAAAGAAGCACCACUUUGGAAGCUCAAAGCCGCACUGGAAACACAGUCUUUCAGGAUGUCUGAAAGGGGCAAGUCUGUUUGUGUGGGGUAAGAAAUGCGGGGAGACAAACGGACAGUGGACAGAUUGCAGAGAGCUCUGUGUGCUGAGAGGAGGGUGCAGACCAGAUUUUUAAAUUGAGAAUGCAACAGUGAAGGAUUUCAAGCUUGGAGUGAGAGGGGAGACUACGAGCCUGCAGUGAUAAGGCAAAGCUGAAGAUUUCAGAGCCAAGGCCACACCCUACAGUUGCCAUGGAAUGGGGUGGCACAGUGGGCUUUGGAGGAAUCAAAGCUGGAGGAGCGGAAGAUAUACAGGGAGUCCACGGAGCCUCCCCUGCAAGCAUCAGUACAGAAGUCGAUGAUAAUCUGGAUGCAAGCCCAGGAGUGUGGAGUCCACUGACUCAGAAGACCUGCAUCUAAGGAAUUGGCUGUUCUUAUCCUUAAGAAUGAUGACUGUGUUUCCAAUUCCAGUAGACCCUUUGAUGCGUUCUGAAUAAAUAUUCCUUUUGGAAUUGAACUUCUAGAGCCCUUAACUUUGGC